rnacentral:hammerhead_ribozyme from 1 species
AUCCGACUGACGAGUCCUAAACAGAGCAGAACGCGUGUCCUGGAU